rnacentral:rRNA from 1 species
UAAACUUAUUGAUUAAGGUACUAAGGGUGUAUGGUGGAUGCCUUGGUACAGAGAGGCGAUGAAGGGCGUGGCGAACUGCGAUAAGCCUCGGGGAGCCGUAAGCAGGCUUUGAUCCGGGGAUACCCGAAUGGGGCAACCCGUGCCGAUUCAUAUUGGCACAUCCCGAAAGGGAGGCGAACCUGGGGAAGUGAACCAUCUCAGUACCCAGAGGUAUAGAAAUCAACCGAGAUUUCCCUAGUAGCGGCGAGCGAACGGGAAACAGCCUAAACCAUAAAGAUGCCAAGGGCAGGUCCGUUGUCUUUGUGGUGUUGUGGGAGCCAAUUGGAGGUAACCUGAUGCCUCCGAAGAGUUACAAAAAGUCUUCUUAACCGAACAGCCUUGAAUGGCUGACCAUAGAAGGUGGAAGUCCUGUAGGUGAAAAGAUGACUUCUCUUUUUGGAAUUCCCAAGUAGCGCGGGGCACGAGGAACCCUGUGUGAAUCCGGGUGGACCAUCAUCCAAGGCUAAAUACUAUUCUGUAACCGAUAGUGAACCAGUACCGUGAGGGAAAGGUGAAAAGUACCCCUGUCAGGGGCGUGAAAUAGAACCUGAAACCAUAUACCUACAAGCAGUCGAAGUUCCAGCUUGCUGGAAUGACGGCGUGCCUUUUGUAAAAUGAGCCGGCUAGUUAUUUUCAGUGGCAAGGUUAAGUCGAAGAGACGGAGCCGAAGCGAAAGCGAGUCUGAAUAGGGCGAAUGAGUCACUGGGAAUAGACGCGAAGCGGAAGUGAGCUAUCCUUGGCCAGGGUGAAGUAUGGGUAACACCAUACGGAGGCCCGCACCAAUAUGGGUUGAAAACCGUUUGGAUGAGCUGAGGAUAGGGGUGAAAGGCCAACCAAACUCCGUGAUAGCUCGUUCUCUCCGAAAUAGCUUUAGGGCUAGCCUCGUAUGAUUUGUGCAGGAGGUAGAUCACUGGAUGGACUAGGGGUUUGAAAAAACUACUGAAUCCAACUAAAAUGCGAAUGCCUGCAACAACAGUACGGGAGUCAGAAAGUGGGGGCUAAGCUCCAUUUUCGAAAGGGAAACAGCCCAGACCGCCAGCUAAGGUCCCAGAAUUCAUGCUAAGUGGGAAAGGAUGUAAAGAUACAAAGACAGCCAGGAGGUUGGCUUAGAAGCAGCCAUCCUUUAAAGAAAGCGUAAUAGCUCACUGGUCGAGCGUCCUUGCGCCCAAGAUGUAACGGGGCUAAAGCAUGAUACCGAAGCUGCGGUUUUGAUCCCGAUUCGUCGGGAUUGAAAGGUAGGAGAGCAUUCCUGAUUGAAGAUUCAGGCUGUGAGGCCUGAUGGUGGUCAGGAAGAGACUCUGCCGGCAUAAGUAGUGAUAAUCCCGGUGAGAACCCGGGACGCCGAAAGUCUAAGGUUUCCUGAGCAAGGUCAGUCCACUCAGGGUUAGUCGGAUCCUAAGCUGAGGCCAAACGGCGUAAGCGAUGGAAAGCAGGUCAACAUUCCUGCACCACUUCGAAAACGUUAUACCAACGUGGGGACACAGCAGGCUAAGCAGACCGUACCGCUGGUCGAGUACGGCCGAUGACAAGGGUAGCCUCAAUUAAAUCAGAGGCGUCAUCCCAAGGUAGUCGGGGAAAUUCGGUUUUUACCGGGUGAACCUGCUGAGGUCAUACUGUCAAGAAAAGCCACUAGGAAGAAUUCGGGGUGUCCGUACCGUAAACCGACACAGGUAGACGGGAAGAAUAUUCUCAGGCGCACGUGUGAUGUCUCCUUUAGGAACUCGGCAAAUUAACUCCGUAACUUCGGAAGAAGGAGUGCCUCGCUAGGGUUAAAUUUUUAGCAAUAGAGAUUGAAGCCCGAGGAGGCCGCAGAGAAUUGGCCCAAGCGACUGUUUAACAAAAACACAGGACUCUGCUAAAACAAAAAAUUGAUGUAUAGGGUCUGACGCCUGCCCGGUGCUGGAAGGUUAAAAGGAGGGGUCAUCCCCGUAAGGGGAGAAGCUCUGAAUUGAAGCCCCAGUAAACGGCGGCCGUAACUAUAACGGUCCUAAGGUAGCGAAAUUCCUUGUCGGGUAAGUUCCGACCCGCACGAAAGGCGUAACGACUUGGGCGCUGUCUCAAGGAGAUGCACGACGAACUUGUAGCAUGGGUCAAGAUGCCCAUUACCCGCUGCUGGACAGAAAGACCCCGUGAACCUUUACUGCACCCUAAUAUUGAAUUUUGGUGCGGUAUGUCCAGGAUAGGUGGGAGGCUUUGAAGUUCCGACGCUAGUCGGGAUGGAGCCGUCCUUGGGAUACCACCCUUAUCGUAUUGGAAUUCUAACCCUGACAGUAUAUCCUGUCGGGAAACAGUGUUAGGCGGGUAGUUUGACUGGGGCGGUCGCCUCCAAAAUCGUAACGGAGGUGCCCAAAGGUAUUCUCAGGCUGUUUGGAAAUCAGCCGUAGAGUGUAAAGGCAUAAGAAUGCUUAACUGUGAGACCGACAGGUCGAGCAGAUGCGAAAGCAGGGCUUAGUGAUCCGGUGGUUCUGUAUGGAAGGGCCAUCGCUCAACGGAUAAAAGGUACUCCGGGGAUAACAGGCUUAUAGCGUCCAAGAGCUCAUAUCGACGACGCUGUUUGGCACCUCGAUGUCGGCUCAUCACAUCCUGGGGCUGGAGCAGGUCCCAAGGGUUCGGCUGUUCGCCGAUUAAAGUGGUACGUGAGCUGGGUUCAGAACGUCGCAAGACAGUUCGGUCCUUAUCCACAGUGGGCGCAGGAGAUCUGCGAGAAUCUGUCCCUAGUACGAAAGGACCGGGAUGGGUAAAUCUCUGGUAAUCCAGUUGUUCUGCCAAGGGCAUAGCUGGGUAGCUACAUUUAUUCUGGAUAACCGCUGAAAGCAUCUAAGUGGGAAGCCAAUCUCAAGAUAAGAUCUCCCCUCUCGCAAGAGAGCUGAAGACCACUCGUAGACGACGAGUUUGAUAGGCUGGAUGUGUAAGGCCCGUAAGGGUUUAAGCUAACCAGUACUAAUCGGUCGUGAGCCUUAAUCAUA